rnacentral:rRNA from 1 species
UGGGGAAUUUUGCACAAUGGGGGAAACCCUGAUGCAGCGACGCCGCGUGAUUUAGAAGGCCUUCGGGUUGUAAAAAUCUUUUUUACGGGAUGAAAAUGACAGUACCGUAAGAAUAAGGUCCGGCUAAAUACGUGCCAGCAGCCGCGGUAAUACGUAUGGACCGAGCGUUGUCCGGAAUCAUUGGGCGUAAAGGGUACGUAGGCGGCCUAGUAAGUUAGAAGUGAAAUAAUAUAGCUCAAAUAUAUAAAGCUUUUAAAACUGCUAGGCUUGAGAGAUGGAAGGGAAAGUGGAAUUCCUAGUGUAGCGGUGAAAUGCGCAGAUAUUAGGAAGAAUACCGGUGGCGAAGGCGACUUUCUGGUCAUCAUCUGACGCUGAGGUACGAAAGCGUGGGUAGCAAACAGG